CCAACCUAUAAAUAGACUAGCCAGGGAGACAAUUAUUCUAUCCCAGUUUGUUUUGGUUUGGUUAUUUUUUAAUUGGUUUUCUGGUUUAUCUAUCUAUAUAUAUACAACGGAUGUAUUGUGAUUUUUAAUCCUCGAUAGAUUAGGAUUUUGAGGUUGUUGCUAUUAGUUGAUUUGGUGUUUCUUUCACAUGAGAAUUAGAGAUCGUUUGGUUGAUAUUCUUGCGUGUUCACAGCCUUUGUUGAUAUGUUACUUUCUUACAUUCAAUUCAAGAUUUUGCGAUUUCUACGAGAGAAGUUUGGAUUUUGAAUAAGUUUAGAUCAAUUCCAAGAAAUAUUUUAAUUGGAAACUUGCUCUGAUAAUAUUGAGACCGUUUGGUGUUUUGAUUGACGUGAUUCUCUUGAGAGUUAGAGAAUAGUUUUGUUGAUAUCAGCUUUGAAGUAUUUUGGAAGAUUAGGUGAUUGAUUGCCUUCUUUUGGGAAUUACCAGUUCGUUCAGUAGAUUGAUCGGUCAUCAUCGUGUCAUGGUGUCAGUUGUCAACAUGCAUGGAUGGGCAAUACUUCGGUGUUUGCAGCAGUUCCCAGGUCUUUGGCAUUUAUUGGACUGCAGUUCUCAACCUUAGAUGAUUCUUUUCACAUGUGUGGUCUGCUGCCAUUUCUAGUUUUUUCUUGUUUUUAUGAUCCGACUGAUGAGGUCUCUUAUGGCUGAGUCAAUCCUGUAUCUUGUGAAGUGCUCCUCUAAUAUCUUACAGUUUCUAGCUAUUUAUUUUCUCUCUGCUUCCGUUUCCUUCUGGUUAUUGCACCAGCUUGAUUUUGUUUGUUGGAUGACCACAUGGUGACAGUAAUAGAGGAUUAGAUUUGGAAAAUUCAGAGGUCGGUACCCAGUAUGCAUCCGUGUGCACCCUUCUUGUCCUUUUCGUGCUCACACUGCAAUCUGGAUAAUGCCAGGCUUCGACAAAAAGGGGGUUUCGUAUCUUGUCUCUGGCAUGUUUCUAGUGAUUUCUUAGGUGGUAUAGCACUUAACUCUUCCCUUAUUCUGUGCUUGCAGCAGCCAUUGGGUCUUACAGAGCAGUGAAUUAUUCUUUUCAUGGAGCGGUCUUGUUUGUCCAUUUGCGUUGAGGUUUCUUUAGUUCACGCUUUUAUAUGAGUAGAGAAAUUUUCAUUUCUCAACUAAACUAGAUUUUUUCACUAGUUUUUGGUGUAUUCUGCUGCCAUUUUUAGUUUUUAGUCCAGAUGCUUAUGUUCUUCGACCAUCCAACUGAUGAGGCCCUGGUUGUUGGUUAUGGACUCUGAUUAAGUACUCAAAGUCAGUUCUGGAUAUUCAAUAGCCAUUCAAGAGGAUUAGAUUUGGGAAUUUCAGAGGUUGGUGUCCAGUGUGCAUUCCUGUGCACCCUGCUUCUCGCUAUCUUGGUGCUUGUACUCCAACCUGGAUAACCUCAGGCUUCGACAAAUAAGGGGUGAAUUAUUCUUCAUGGAGCGGCCUUGUUUGUCCAUUUGUUUGAGGUUUCUGGAUUAAUGAGUACUGAUAUUUUCAUUUCAGUUUUCUUCCCCAAUCAGAGUGGUUGCCUUCAUUCUUUGUCAAAAUUCUUCUUGUAUGAAAGUUCUCGACUAAAAUUGGGUUUUUCACUAUUAUGUGUUGUAUUCUGCCUGCCAUUUUUAGAUUUUAUCCAGAUGCUUAUGUUCUUCGAUGGUCCAAGUGAUGAGAUUCCUGAUGCUUGAUGGUUAUGGACUUUUGAUAAGUCUCAAACUCAAUUCUGGAUCUCUUGACAGCCCCACGAAGUGCUCCUCUCUUUUAGUGUAUUCGCUGUGUAUCUUCUUUGUUUCCUUUUUCUUUUUGUUUUAAGCCAGUUUGAUUUUGUUUCUUGGAUGUACGUGUGGUGAUAGUUAGAGGAUUAGAUUUGGAAAUUUCAAUGGCUGGUGUUCGGUGUGCAUUCCUGUGCACCCAGUUUCUUUGCUAUUUUUGUGCCUGUACUCCAAUUGACAUUUCUAGUGAUUUCCUAGGUGAUAUGGGUCUUACAGUGCAGUGAAUACAUCUUUUCAUGGAGUGACCUUGUUUUUCAAUUUGUGUUGAGGUGUCUGUAGUUAAUAAUGGUUUUACUGAUUAGCGAUUUCAAUUCUGUUUUCUUCCCUAAUUCAGAGUGCAUCCCUUCUCUCUUUGUCAACACUGCUUCUUGGUGUGUUGCAUUCUGCUGCCUUUUUAUUUUUUCAGUCCAGAUGCUUUUGUUCUUUGGUGGUCCAACCGAUGAUAACGGACACAUGAUAAGUUUUCAAACUCAAUUUUGGAUCUUUUGAUAGCUCUGAUUCCGUUUUCUUUUGUUUAGCAUGCGAGUUGAUUUUAUUUGGUUGGAUGGAUGUUUGUAGAGCACAAUGUGAUAGUGACAGAGGAUUAUAUUUGGAAAUUUUGAUGUCUGAUUUCAGUAUGCGUAUUGAUUUUCAAUGGUAAGACAUUGAAAGCUGGUGUGGUCCAUUCUAGAUGCAAUUUUGGGGAAUCAAGCUUUGCUUUCAGGUUUUGGGCGAUUCUGAGGUUUUUUCCAUGAGAUCCCUUUAUGCAAUUUUGGGGAAUCAAGCAUGUUAUUGUGGUUGUUGGGUAGUUAAAAAUUGUUUCAUCUUAUUUGUUUUUGAAUUUCUGUAUUGUAUAUGGGUUGUAGGUUUCUAUCGGUCUCUGUUGAGAAAUUAAGCUCGGGACAAGCAAUUCAAGCGGGGAGCGAUCAGUGUUUGGGAGUUCUUUCUGAGGUUUUUUUUUUUUUUUUUUUUUUUCAAUUAGUUCUGUUUCUUUUCAAAUUCAUUGAUUCGUUGUUUGUAUGUCUAUGUCGGCAAUGUUUGAUCAGGUCCGGGUAAUGAUCAUAGGAGAACAUUUUAGGUAACCUUGGUCUCAAUGUUCUUAUCCUUUCUUCUUUCCUUAUGCGUGAUUUAUUUAUAUUUUUGUUCCCAUCCUGUUUUUACAGUUAUCUGAUUUCCUAAUUGCAAUCCUUUGAUUAAUUUUCAAUUUAAAGAAAUUCAAAGCUGAUGAGGUCCAUUCUUAGAUGCAAUUUUGGGGAGUUAAGCUUUGGCGAUUCUGAGGUUUUUGUUGUGAGAUUUCCCCUAUGCUAUUAGCUUUGUCUUUACGUUUCCCCUUGAUGAUUUGAUAUAGGGGUUAUUCCGUAUUUUGAAAAGGUGUUGUGUUAGUUGUCAAGAUAACAUGGAUGGGCAGUUAAAUGAAUGCUUCAGUGUUUGUGGUCUCUUGGAGCUUUGUCAAAACUGCUACUAUGUGGAAGUUCAGAUGCUUACCUUUUUUGAUGAUCUGACUUAUGGUUAUGGACUAUGCUACUCGGACUCUUCACUUUCGGUGCCGCACCCGUGUCGACACGACAUGGGUGUGGGUGUGGGAUCCGUAACCGAUCCGGUCAACCGAUUUUGGAUACUUUGACUUAAAUGGACGCAGAAAUUCUGGACAGAUUCAAUGAUUUCUUUAAUCAAAACUAAAGCUAAGGUGAAAUUGAAGAAAAUGGAAUAUACCUUGUAUGUAAAAAAUUCUAUGUCAUUCUGUUUCCUUUCCUUUUAUCUCCUUUGGGGAUUCUCCUCUUGAUCAAUAUUUUUUCCUCAAGUUUUUCACAUAAUAUUCCAUAAUUUAGUUUUUUAUAACUCUAUUUUUAGAUAUUUGAAUUUUUUUAGCCGAAUCCCCGCACCCGUAUCCAUAACUGGAUCCGUAUCCCCGAAUCUUAAAAUUUAGAUCAUGAAGGAUCCGACAUCUAGAUCCGCACCCGUAUCGGACACCCGCACCCGAGUCCGAGUAACUUAGGCUAUGGACACCUGUUAAGUACUCAAAAGUCAAUACUGGAUCUUUGAUAGCGCCGUGAUGUGCUCCUUUACUUUGGGUUUCUAGCUAGUUAUUUUCCCUCAGCUUCCGUUUUCUUUUGGUUGUCACACCAUCUUGAUUUUGUUUAUUGGAUGAAUGCGUAGAUCACACGGCGACAGAUAGAGGAUUAGAUUUGGAAAAUUUGUAUGCGUUUGUUUGCACGUGCUUUCGUGCUGGCACUGCAAUCUGGAUAUUUCGGGCUUCGACAAAAAGGGGGUUUUGAGUCUUGUCUCUGGCAUCUUUUCUAAUGAUUUGUGGUAUGGGUUUCAUCAGCUUUUCCGUUCCCUUCUUUCUUUGUUUGCAGCCAGCCAUUGGGUCUUGCAAAGCCAUGAAUUAUGCUUUUCAUGGAACGGCCCUGUUUGUCCAUUUAUGUCGAGGUUCCUUUAGUUCAGGCUUUUAUGAGUACAAAAAAAUUUCUUUUCUCAACCAAAAUAGUUUUUUUUUCAAUAGUGUUCAUUGGAUUCUGCUGCCAUUUUUGGUUUUUUAGUCCAGAUGCUUAUGUUCUUUGACCAUCCAACUGAUGGGGCCCUGGUGGUUGAUGGUUAUAUACCUGAUUAAGUACUUGAAGUCAGUGCUGGAUAUUUCGUUAGCCCAGUAAAGUGCGCCUCUUUUUGGUUUUCUCGCUGCUUAUUUUCUCUGCUGCUGUUUCUUCUGUUUAUCACACGAGCUUGAUUUUGUUUGUUGGAUGUGUGGUAACAGUUAAGAGGAUUAGAUUUGGAAAUGGAAGUUUCAAAGGUUGGUGUGCACCCGGUUUCUUGCCAUUUUGGUGUUGAUGGUUAUGGACACCUGAUCAAGUACUUGAAGUCAGUUCUGGAUAUUUUGAUAGCCCUGUAAAGUGCUUCUCUCUUUUGGUGUUCUCGCUGCUUAUUUUCUUCGCUGCCGUUUGCAAGCUUGAUUUUGUUUGUUGGAUGGAUGUGUGGUAACAGUAAGAGGAUUAGAUUUGGACAUUUCAAAGGUUGUCCCAGUAUGCGUUUGCGUGCACCCUGUUUCUUGCUAUUUUGGUGCUUGCACUACAAUCUGGAUAUUGUCUGCGACAAAAAGGGGGUUUCGAAUCUUGUCUGGCAUUUUUCUUAGUGAUUUCUUAGGUAGUAUGGGUUACAUCAGCUUUGCACUUAACUCUUCCCUUCUUUCUGUGCUUGCAGCCGUUGAGUCUUACAGAGCCAUGAAUUAUUCUUUUCAUGGAGCGGCCUUGUUUGUCCAUUUGUCCAUUUGUGCUGAGGUUUCUUUAGUUCAGGCUUUUAUGAGUACAUAAAUUUUCAUUUCUCAACUAAAAUAGUUUUUUUCGCCAGUGUUUGUUGUAUUCUGCUGCCAUCUUAGUUUUUAGUCCAGAUGCUUAUGUUCUUUGACCAUCCAACUGAUGAGGCCCUGGCGGUUGGCCCUGCCUUUCGAUCGAUACACAGUUGAGGAGCUUUCCGUGGUAUUGAAAGGGACCUGUACAAGUGUGAAAUCCUAAUGCUAAAAACGAUGUUUAUGGACACCAGAUUAAGUUCUAAAGUCAGUUCUGGAUAUUUCGUUAGCCCCGUAAAGUGCUCCUCUGUUUUGGUUUUCUCGCUACUUAUCUCUGUUUCCGUUCUCUUCUGUGAAUCAUGCAGCUUAAUUUUGUUUCUUGGAUGUCUGGUAACAGUUAAGAAAAUUAGAUUUGGAAAUUUCGGAGGUUGGUGUGCAGUAUGUGUUUCUUCUGAGCACCCUGUUUCUUGCCAUUUUGGUGUUUGCACUACAAUCUGGGUAUUGUCUUGCUGCGACAGAAAGGGGGUUUCGAAUCUUGUCUCUGGCAAUUUUCCUAGUGAUUUCUUAGAUAGUAGGGGUUACAUCAGCUUUGCACUUAAAUGUUCCCUUCUUUCUGUGUUUGCAGUAGCCAUUACAGAGCCAUGAAUUAUGCUUUUCAUGGAACGGCCUUGUUUGUCCAUUUGUGUCAAGGUUCCUUUAGUUCAGGCUUUUAUGAGUACAAAAAUUUUCAUUUCUCAACUAAAUUAGUUUUUUUCGCUAGUGUUUAUUGUAUCUGCUGCCAUUUUUAGUUUAUUAGUGCAGAUGCUUACGUUCUUUGACCAUCAAACUGAGCACUUCUGGAUAUUUCGACAGCCCCGUAAUGUGCUCCUCUCUUUUGGUGUUCUCGCUGCUUAAUUUCUCUGCUGCCGUUUCUUCUGUUUAUCACGCGAGCUUGAUUUUGUUUAUUGGAUGGAUGUGUGGUAACAGUUCAGACAAUUAGAUUUGGAAAUUUCAAAGGUUGGUAUCCCGUAUGUGUUUUUGUGCACCCUGUUUCUUGCCAUUUUGGUGCUUGCACUACAAUCUGAUCUUGCUUCGACUAAAAGGUGGUCUCGAAUCUUGUCUCUGGCAUUUUUCCUAGUGAUUUCUUAGGUGAUAAGGGUUACAUCAAGCUUUGCACUGAAUUGUUCCCCUCUUUCUGUGCUUUCAGCAGCCAUUGGGUCUUACAGAGCCAUGAAUUAUUCUUUUCAUGGAGCGGCCUUGUUUGUCAAUUUGUGUUGAGCUUCCUUUAGUUAGGGCUUUUAUGAGUACAGAAGUUUUCAUUUCUUAACUAAAAUAGUUUUCUCUCUCUAGUGUUUGUUGUGUUCUGCUGCCAUUGUUAGUGUUUAGUCCAGAUGCUUAUGUUCUUCAACGAUCCAACUGAUGAGGCCUUGGUGGUUGAUUAUGGACCUGAUUAAGUACUCUAAGUCUGUUCCAGAUAUUUCGAUAGCCCCGUAAAGUGCUCCUCUCUUUUGGUGUUCUCGCUGCUUAUUUUCUCUGUUGCUGUAUUCUUCUGUUAUCAGGCUAGCUUGAUUUUUUUUUUGUUGGAUGGACGUGCCAGUAACAGUUGAGGAUUAGAUUAGGAAAUUUCAGUAUGCAUUCCUCUACACCCUAUUCCUUGCCAUUUUGGUGCUUGUACUCCAAUCUGGAUAUUGUCAGGCUUCGACAGAAAAGGGGGUUUUCAACCUGGCUCUUGCAUAUCUAGUGAUAUCUGAGGUGGUAUGGGUUUCGUCAGAGUUGCACUUUAACUGUUCCCUUCUUUCUGUGCUUGCAGCCAUAAGCAGUGACUUCUUCUUUUCGUGGAGCGAUCAUGUUUGUCUACUUGAGCUACGGUUCUUUAGUUCAGUCUUUUAUGAGUAUUGAGAUUUUCAUUCAGUUCUCUGUCCUAAUGGUCCUUGUUCUCUUUGUUGAAAGUUGAAGCUACUGUUGUAUUGAAGUUUCUCAAAGAUAAUAUUUUUCACCAGUGUGUUAUAUUCUGCUGCGAUGAAGUUUUAACUCCAGAUGCUUAUGUUUUCUUCGAUGAUCCAACCGCUGGAUCCUUUUAUAGCGCCGUAAAGUGUCCCUCUUCCUUUGGUCUUCUAGCUACUUAUUUUCUCUGUUUUCUGUUGGUUAUCACGCCACUUGUCUGCUCGUUUUUGUUGGAUGGAUGUGUAGAUCAUAUGGUGACAGUAACAGAGGUUAAGAUUUGGAAAUUUCGAAGGUUGGUAUCCAGUAUGCGUUCCUCUGCACCCUCUUGGUCUUUUUGGGUGCUUGCACUGCAAUCUGGAUUUGUCCGGCUUCGACAAAAAGGGGGUUUUCAAUCUUGUCUAUGGCACCUCUAGUAUUUUCUUGAGUGGUUUGGGUUUCGUCAGCUUUGCACUUAACUGUUCUCUUCUCUCUGUGCUUGCAGCCAUUGGGUUUUACAGAGCAGUGAAUUACCCUUUUUUGGGACGCCCUUGUUUGUACAUCUGUGUUGAGGUUUCUUUAGUUCAGUCUUUUACUAUCAUUGACAUUUUCAAUUCAGUUUUCUCGUCUAAAAGCUCCCUUUUCUCUUUGUCAAACUACUGUUGUGUGGAGGUUUAACUGAGAUAAUAUUUUUCACCAGUGUGUUGUAUUCUGCUGCCAUGAGGUUCUUAGUCCAGAUGCUUAUAUUCUUCAAUGAUCCAACUGAUGAGUGGUUAUGGACAGCUGAUAGCGCUGUAAAGUGCUCCUCCACUUUUGGUCUUCUAGCCUGUUUAUCUUCUUUGCUUCCAGUUUCCGUUGUGUUCUGCUGCCAUUGUUAGUGUUUAGUCCAGAUGCUUAUGUUCUUCAACGAUCCAACUGAUGAGGCCUUGGUGGUUGAUUAUGGACCUGAUUAAGUACUCUAAGUCUGUUCCAGAUAUUUCGAUAGCCCCGUAAAGUGCUCCUCUCUUUUGGUGUUCUCGCUGCUUAUUUUCUCUGUUGCUGUAUUCUUCUGUUAUCAGGCUAGCUUGAUUUUUUUUUGUUGGAUGGACGUGCCAGUAACAGUUGAGGAUUAGAUUAGGAAAUUUCAGUAUGCAUUCCUCUACACCCUAUUCCUUGCCAUUUUGGUGCUUGUACUCCAAUCUGGAUAUUGUCAGGCUUCGACAGAAAAGGGGGUUUUCAACCUGGCUCUUGCAUAUCUAGUGAUAUCUGAGGUGGUAUGGGUUUCGUCAGAGUUGCACUUUAACUGUUCCCUUCUUUCUGUGCUUGCAGCCAUAAGCAGUGACUUCUUCUUUUCGUGGAGCGAUCAUGUUUGUCUACUUGAGCUACGGUUCUUUAGUUCAGUCUUUUAUGAGUAUUGAGAUUUUCAUUCAGUUCUCUGUCCUAAUGGUCCUUGUUCUCUUUGUUGAAAGUUGAAGCUACUGUUGUAUUGAAGUUUCUCAAAGAUAAUAUUUUUCACCAGUGUGUUAUAUUCUGCUGCGAUGAAGUUUUAACUCCAGAUGCUUAUGUUUUCUUCGAUGAUCCAACCGCUGGAUCCUUUUAUAGCGCCGUAAAGUGUCCCUCUUCCUUUGGUCUUCUAGCUACUUAUUUUCUCUGUUUUCUGUUGGUUAUCACGCCACUUGUCUGCUCGUUUUUGUUGGAUGGAUGUGUAGAUCAUAUGGUGACAGUAACAGAGGUUAAGAUUUGGAAAUUUCGAAGGUUGGUAUCCAGUAUGCGUUCCUCUGCACCCUCUUGGUCUUUUUGGGUGCUUGCACUGCAAUCUGGAUUUGUCCGGCUUCGACAAAAAGGGGGUUUUCAAUCUUGUCUAUGGCACCUCUAGUAUUUUCUUGAGUGGUUUGGGUUUCGUCAGCUUUGCACUUAACUGUUCUCUUCUCUCUGUGCUUGCAGCCAUUGGGUUUUACAGAGCAGUGAAUUACCCUUUUUUGGGACGCCCUUGUUUGUACAUUUGUGUUGAGGUUUCCUUAGUUCAGUCUUUUACUAUCAUUGACAUUUUCAAUUCAGUUUUCUCGUCUAAAAGCUCCCUUUUCUCUUUGUCAAACUACUGUUGUGUGGAGGUUUAACUGAGAUAAUAUUUUUCACCAGUGUGUUGUAUUCUGCUGCCAUGAGGUUCUUAGUCCAGAUGCUUAUAUUCUUCAAUGAUCCAACUGAUGAGUGGUUAUGGACAGCUGAUAGCGCUGUAAAGUGCUCCUCCACUUUUGGUCUUCUAGCCUGUUUAUCUUCUUUGCUUCCAGUUUCCGUUGUGUUCUGCUGCCAUUGUUAGUGUUUAGUCCAGAUGCUUAUGUUCUUCAACGAUCCAACUGAUGAGGCCUUGGUGGUUGAUUAUGGACCUGAUUAAGUACUCUAAGUCUGUUCCAGAUAUUUCGAUAGCCCCGUAAAGUGCUCCUCUCUUUUGGUGUUCUCGCUGCUUAUUUUCUCUGUUGCUGUAUUCUUCUGUUAUCAGGCUAGCUUGAUUUUUUUUUGUUGGAUGGACGUGCCAGUAACAGUUGAGGAUUAGAUUAGGAAAUUUCAGUAUGCAUUCCUCUACACCCUAUUCCUUGCCAUUUUGGUGCUUGUACUCCAAUCUGGAUAUUGUCAGGCUUCGACAGAAAAGGGGGUUUUCAACCUGGCUCUUGCAUAUCUAGUGAUAUCUGAGGUGGUAUGGGUUUCGUCAGAGUUGCACUUUAACUGUUCCCUUCUUUCUGUGCUUGCAGCCAUAAGCAGUGACUUCUUCUUUUCGUGGAGCGAUCAUGUUUGUCUACUUGAGCUACGGUUCUUUAGUUCAGUCUUUUAUGAGUAUUGAGAUUUUCAUUCAGUUCUCUGUCCUAAUGGUCCUUGUUCUCUUUGUUGAAAGUUGAAGCUACUGUUGUAUUGAAGUUUCUCAAAGAUAAUAUUUUUCACCAGUGUGUUAUAUUCUGCUGCGAUGAAGUUUUAACUCCAGAUGCUUAUGUUUUCUUCGAUGAUCCAACCGCUGGAUCCUUUUAUAGCGCCGUAAAGUGUCCCUCUUCCUUUGGUCUUCUAGCUACUUAUUUUCUCUGUUUUCUGUUGGUUAUCACGCCACUUGUCUGCUCGUUUUUGUUGGAUGGAUGUGUAGAUCAUAUGGUGACAGUAACAGAGGUUAAGAUUUGGAAAUUUCGAAGGUUGGUAUCCAGUAUGCGUUCCUCUGCACCCUCUUGGUCUUUUUGGGUGCUUGCACUGCAAUCUGGAUUUGUCCGGCUUCGACAAAAAGGGGGUUUUCAAUCUUGUCUAUGGCACCUCUAGUAUUUUCUUGAGUGGUUUGGGUUUCGUCAGCUUUGCACUUAACUGUUCUCUUCUCUCUGUGCUUGCAGCCAUUGGGUUUUACAGAGCAGUGAAUUACCCUUUUUUGGGACGCCCUUGUUUGUACAUUUGUGUUGAGGUUUCUUUAGUUCAGUCUUUUACUAUCAUUGACAUUUUCAAUUCAGUUUUCUCGUCUAAAAGCUCCCUUUUCUCUUUGUCAAACUACUGUUGUGUGGAGGUUUAACUGAGAUAAUAUUUUUCACCAGUGUGUUGUAUUCUGCUGCCAUGAGGUUCUUAGUCCAGAUGCUUAUAUUCUUCAAUGAUCCAACUGAUGAGUGGUUAUGGACAGCUGAUAGCGCUGUAAAGUGCUCCUCCACUUUUGGUCUUCUAGCCUGUUUAUCUUCUUUGCUUCCAGUUUCCUUUGCUGAUCUCGCUGCUUAUUUUCUCUGCUUCCGUUUUCUUCUGUGUAUAACACGAGCUUGAUUUUGUUUGUUGGAUGGAUGUGUGGUACUAAGAGGAUUAGAUUUGGAAAUUUCAAAGGUUGGUGUCCAGUGUGCAUUUGUGCACCCUGUUUAUUGCCAUUUUGUUGCUUGUACUUCAAUCUGGCAUAUUUUCAGGCUUCGACAAAAAAGGGGGUUUUCAAUCCUAGUCUCUUGCAUCUCUUGGUAUGGGUUUCGUCAGCCUUGAACUUAACUUUUCCCCUUUUUCUGUGCUUGUAGUGAAUUAUUCUUUUCAUGGAGCGGCCUUGUUUGCCCAUUCUUUGGUUUCUUUAGUUCAGGAUUUAUGAGUACUGAUAAUUUCAUCAGUUUUCUUCCCCGAUCAGAGUGGUUCCCUUCAUUCUGUGUCAAAAUUGCUGUUGUAUGGAAGUUCUCGACUAAAAUUGGGUUUUCCACUAUUAUGUGUUGUAUUCUGCUGCCAUUUUUAGAUUUUGGUCCACAUGCUUAUGUUCUUCAAUGGUCCAAGUGAUGAGAUUCCUGAUGCUUGAUGGUUGUGGAUACCUGAUAAGUCUCUAACUCAAUUCUGGGUCUCUUGACUGCCCCGUGAAGUGCUCUCACUGCGUAUAUUCUUUGUUUCCUUUUUCUUUUUGUUUUACUCCAGUUUGAUUUUGUUUGUUGGAUGUAUGUGUGGUGACAGUUAGAGGAUUAGAUUUGGAAAUGUCAAUGGUUGGUGUCCGGUCCACAUUCCCGUGCACCCAGUUAUUUUGCCAUUUUUGUGCUUGUACUCCAAUCCGGAUAUUUGUCAGGCUUCGACAAAAAAGGGGGUUUUAUUUCUUGUUUUUGUUUCUUGCAUCUCCAGUGAUUUCUGAGCUGGUACAGGUUUCAUCAGUUUUGCACUGAACUGUUCUUUCUGUGUUUGCAGCCUUUGGUCUUACAGAGCAGUGAAUACUUCUUUUCAUGGAGCGGCCUUGUUUUCCCGUUUGUGUUGAGGUUUUUCUAAUUCAGGUUUUAUGCGUUGUGGGAUUUUCAUUCUGUUUCUUUCACAAUCUGCGUGAUUCGCUCCUCUCUUUUUCAAAAUUACUGUUGUAUGGAAGUUCUCAACUAAGAUAUUAUUUUCCACUAGUGUGUGCUGUAUCCUUGAUGCCAUAAAGUUUUUUGUCCAGAUGCUUAUGUUCUUAGAUGAUCCAACUGAUGAGAUCCCUGAUGGUUAUGGACACCUGAUAAUUAUCCAAACUCAAUUUUAGAUCUAUUUGUAUCCCCAUUAAGUAUUCCUCUACUUGGUGUUCUUGGUACUUAUCUGCUCUGCUUCUGUUUUCUUUUGUUUUGGUUAGAGGCAUGCUUGUAGACCACAUGGUGACAGUGAUAGAGGAUUAGAUUUGGAAAUUCCGAAGGUCAGUUUCUGUAAUGGCCUGUGCACCUUGUUUCUUGGCCAUAUUGGUGCUUGCACUGCAAUCUGGAUAAUGCCAGGUUCCGAGAAAAGGGUGUCUAAUCUUGUCUGGCACAUCUGAGAUCUCUUCCAUAUGGCAUGGGUUUUGCCAGCUUUGCACUUAACUGUUCCCUUCCUUUUGUGCUUGCAGUCAUUGGGUCUUUCAGAGCAGUGAAAUCUUCCUUUCAUGGAACAUUGUUUGUCUACUGGCAUUCAGGGGUUUACUUGGUUCACGCUUUCUUCGAGUAUCUAGAUUUUCGGUUCAGUUUUCUUUCCUGAUCAUAGAGAUUCCCUUCUCUUUGUCAAAAUUGCAGUUAUAUUGGAGUUUUCAACUACAAUAAUUAUUUCCACAUGUGUAUAUAAAUCUUUCCUGCUUAUAUUGGAGUUUUCAACUACAAUAAUUCUUUCCUCAAGUGUGUAUAAAUCUUUCCUGCUUCGUUUUCUGUUGCUUAUCACACCAGCUUGAGUUUCUCUGUUGGAAGGAUGCGUAUACCACUUUGAGCAGUAAUGCGGAUUAUAUUUAUUGUGAGGCUUCAACAAAGGUUCUUUUCAUAAUAUCUUGUCACUGAUAUGUCUAAUGAUUUCUUAGGUGGUAUGGGUUUUGCCAGAUUUGCACUUUACUGUUCUCUUCUUUCUAUGCGUGCAGCCAUUGGGUCUUACAGAGCUUUGCAUUCCGCUUUUCACCGUGCGGCCUUGUCUGCCCAUUUGUGUUGAGUUUCUUUAGUUCAGGAUUUUAUGAGUAUGAGUUUUUCAAUCCAGCUUUCUUCCUAAUCAGAGUGGUUCUCUUCUCUCUUUGUCAAAGCCUGCUGCUAUGGGAGUUCUUAGCUAAAAUUGUUUUUUCUCAGCGUGCUGCACUGCCAUUUUUAGUUUAGUCCAGAUGCUUAUGUUUUUCUGUGAUCCAAUGAUUAGGUCAAUGUUUGAUGGUGAUUAUGGACACCUGAUAAAUACUCAAAACUAAGUUCUGGAUAGUUUGAUAGCCCCCGUAAGUCCUACUCUAUUUUUGUGUUCUCGCUGCUUAUCUACUCUGCUUCUGUUAUCUUUUGUGUGUUAUGCCAGCUUGAUUUGUUUGUUGGGUGGAUGUGGUGACAGUUAGAGGAUUCGAUUCGGAUAUUUGCAAGGUUGGUGUCCAGUUUGCGUUCCUGUGCACCCCUGUUUCCUGGUCAUUUUUGUGCUCGCACUGCAAUCUGGAUAUUAUCAGGCUUCGAGAGACGGGUUUUUCAAUCUUGUCUGGGCGUUUUCUAGUGAUUUCCUAUUUUGUUGUGUGCGCUUCGCCAGCUUUGCACUUUAACGGUUCCCUUUUUUAGGUGCUUGCAGCGGUUGGGUCUUACGAGCAGUGAAUCCUUCUUGUCUUGGAGUGGCCUUGUUUGUCAAUUUUGGUUGAGGUUUCUUUAAUUAAUGCUUUUAGAGAUUAUCUAGACUUUCAAUUUCAGUUUUCUUCCCUAAUCAGCGUGGUUCCCUUCUCUCUCUGUCAACACUCAACACUGCUGUUAUCCUCGUCUAAAAUAAUUUUUUUCACUAGUGUGUUGUAUCCUGUUGCCAUCUUUAUUUUUUAGUCCAGAUGCUUAUGUUCUUUGGUGGUCCAACUGAUGAUAUCCCUGAUGGUUACGGACACAUGAUAAGUAAUCUAACUCAAUUAAUUUUGGUUCUAUUGGUAGUCGUGCCUUUUGGUGUUCUCGCUUACUUGAUCUUUUCUGCUUCCGUUUUCUUUGGUUUAACACACCACUUGAUUUUAUUUGGUUGGAUGGAUGUUUGUAGACCACAUGGUGAUAGUGAUAGAUGGUUUGAUUCUGAAAUUUUGAAGUUUGGUAUUUUGGUUUCACAGUGUCCGUUGAGAAAAGGGGGUUCUCCAAUCUUGUCUGGCACCUCUAGCGAUCUCUUGUGUGGUAUGGGUUUUGCGAACUUUGUACUUAACUGCUCCCUUCUUUCUGUGCUUGCAGCAAUCGGGUAUUACGGACCAGUGAAUUCUUUUCAUGGAGCGACCUUGUUUGUUGAGAUUUGUUUGGAGGUUUCUUUAGUUCAGUCAUUUAUGAUUAUUGAGAUUUUCAAUUCAGUUUUCUUCCCUAAUGGCGCCCUUUUCUCUUUGUCCAAACUACUGUUGUAUGGAGGUUUCUCGACUAAGAUAAUAUUGUUCACUAGUGUGUGUUGUAUUUUGCUGCCAUGAAGUUUUUAGUCCAGAUGCUUAUGUGUUCUUUGAUGAUCCAACUGAUGAGGUCUCUUGUGGUAUGGACACCUGAUAAGUACUCGCUAUCAUCUUGUGAUAGCGCUGUAAAAUGCUCCUCCACUUUUUGUCUUCUCGCUGCUUAUCUUCUCUGCUCUUUUGGUUAUCACGCCACUCGAUUUUUUGUUAUAUGGAUGUGUAGACUACAUGGUGACAGUAAUAGAGGUUAAGAUUUGGAAAUUUCAGAGGUUGGGAUCCAGUAUGCGUUCUCUGCACCCUCUUGGUCUUCUUGGUGCUUGCACUGCAAUCUGUAUGUUGCCUGGCUUCGACAAAAAGGGGGUUUUCAAUCUUGUCCAUGACAUCCCUAGUAAUUUCUUAGGUGGUAUGGGUUUCCUCGGCUUUGCACUUUAACUGUUCCCUCCUUUCCUUUGCUUGCAGCCAUGAGCAGUUAAAAGGAGCCAACAUAUUGUCCAUUUGAGCUGAGGUUUCUUAAGUUCAGUCUUUUAUGAGUAUCGAGAUUUUCAAUUCAGUUCUCUUCCAUAAUGGCUCCUUUUUCUCUUUGUUGAAACUAUUGUUGUUUUGAAGUUUCUCAACUAAGAUAAUAUUUUUCACCAGUGUGUGUUGUAUGUUCUGCUGCCGUGAAGUUUUUACUCCAGAUGCUUAUGUUCUUCGAUGAUCCAAUCGGUGAGGUCUCUUUUAUGGUUAUGGACACCCGGUAAGUACUCGGUCAAUUUUGGAUCUUCUGAUAGUGACGUAAAGUGUCCUCUACCUUUGGUCUUCUAGCUGUACUUAGUUUCUCCAUUUUUCUUUUAUUUAUCACGCCAUUUGUCUGUUCCUUUUUGUUGGAUGGAUGUGUAGAUCAUAUGGUGACAGUAACAGAGGUUAAAAUCUGGAAAUUUCAAAGGUCGGUAUUUAGUAUGCAUUCCUCUGCACCCUCUGGUCUUUUGGUGCUUGCACUGCAAUCUUGAUAUUGUCGGGGCUUCGACAAUAAGGGGGUGAAAGGGGUUUUUCUAUCUUUUCUAUGGCACCUCUAGUAAUAUUUUUUAGGUGGUUGGGUUUCGUCAGCUUUGUACUUGACUGUUCCCUUUUUUUGCUUGCAGCCAUUUGGUUUUAUAGAGCAGUGAGCUAUUCUUUUUUGGAGCGGCCCUGUUUGUCCAUUUGUAUUGUGGUGUCUUCAGUUCAGUUUUUUAUGAGCAUCGGGAUUUCAAUUCAGUUUUUUGCCUGAUAGCUCCUUUUUCUCUUUGUCAAAACUACUGUUGUAUGGUGACAGUUAAGUUUUAAAUUUGGUAUUUGCAAGGUUGGUACCCCGUAUUCUUUCGUGUGUACCCUGUUUCUUGGUUAUCUUGGUGCUUGCACUGCAAUCUGGAUAUUAUCAGGCUUCGAGGGACGGGUUUUCAAUCUUUUCUGGCAUUUUCUAGUGAUUUCCUAGGUUGUUGUACGGGCUUCGCCAGCUUUUCACUUAACUGUUCCCUUCUUUUGGUGCUUGCUGUUGGUGGGUUUUACAAGCAGUGAAUCCUUCUUUUCAUGGAGUGGCCUUGUUUGUUGAUUUUGGUUGAGGUUUCUUUAAUUAAUGCUUUUAAUGAUUAUCUAGACUAGAUUUUCAUUUCAGUUUCCUUCCCUAAUAAGAAGGGUUCCCUUCUCUCUCUGUCAACUCCUCAUUUAAAAUUACUUUUUCACUAGCGUGUUGUAUUCUUGCUGCCAUCUUUAUUUUUGAAGUCCAGAUGCUUGUGUUCUUUGGUGAUCCAACUGAUGAGAUCCCUGAUGGCUAUGCACGCAUGAUAAGUACUCUAACUCCAUUAAUUUUGGAUCUUUUUUUAGCCCUGUAAAGUAAAACCCUAAAUUGGUGUUCUCGCUUCUUAUCUUCUCCGCUUCCGCUUUCUUUUGUUUAGCACACCAUUUGAUUUUGUUUUGUUUAGCACACCAUUUGAUUUUGUUCGGUUGGAUAGAUGUUUGUAGACCACAUGGUGAUAGUGAUAGAUGGUUUGAUAUUUCGAAGUCUGUGCGUCAAGGAAAGGGAGUUUCCCAAUCUUGUCUGGCCCCUCUAAUGAUCUCGUGUGGUAUGGGUUUUCCGAGCUUUGCACUUAACUGCUCCCUUCUUUCUGUUCUUGCAGCCAUUGGAGCUUAUGGACCAGUGAAUUCUUCUUUUCAUGGAGCCGACCUUGUUUGUUGAGAUUUGUUUGGAGGUUUCUUCAGUUCAGUUAUGAUUAUUGAGAUUUUUAAUUCAGUUUUCUUCCCUAGUGGCUCCCUUUGCUCUUUGUCCAAACUACUAUUUUAUGGAAGUUUCUUGACAAAGAUAACAUCGUCCACUAGUGUGAGUUGUAUUCUGCUGCCAUGAAGUUUUUAGUCCAGAUGCUUAUGUUCUUCGAUGAUCCAGCUGAUGAGGUCUCUUAUGGUUAUGGACACCUGAUAAGUACUCACGAUCAUCUUCUGAUAGCACUGUAAAGUGCUCCUCCACUUUUGGUCUACUUAUCUUCUUUGUUCUUUUGGUUAUCACGCCACUCAAUUUUUGUUGUAUGGAUGUGUAGACCACACGGUGAGAAUAAUAGAGGUUAAGUUUUGGAAAUUUCAAAGGUUGGAUCGAUUAUGGGUUCUCUGCACCCUCUUGGUCUUUUUGGUGCUUGCAGUCUUGUACUGCAAUCUGGAUAUUGUCAGGCUUCGACAAAAAGGGGGUUUUCAAUCUUGUCUAUGGCAUCUCUAGUGAUUUCUUAGGCGUUAUGGGUUCCCUCGACUUUGCACUUAACUGUUCCCUUCUUUCCUUUGCUUGCAGCCAGGAGCAGUGACUUCUUUUCGUGGAGCGAUCAUGUUUGUCUAUUUGAGCUGAGGUUUCCUUAGUUCAUUCUUUUAUGGGUAUCACGAUUUUCAUUAAGUUCUCUUUUGUAAUGGUCCUUUUUCACUUUGUUGAAACUAAUUUUGUAUUGAACUUUCCCAGCUAGGAUAAUAUUCUCACCAGUAUGUUAUAUUCUGCUGCGAUGAAGUUUUUACUCCAGAUGCAUAUCUUCUUUGAUGAUUCGAUGAUGGUAACAAAGCACUUAAGUUGUCCCUUCUUUCUGUGCUUGCAGCCAUUGGGUUUUACAGAGCAUUGAAUUACCCUUUUUUGGAGCGGCCUUGUUUGUACAUUUUUGUUGAGGUUUCUUUAGUUCCAUCUUUUAUAAGCAUCGAGAUUUUCAAUUCAGUUUUCUUGGCUAAAUGCUCCUUUUCUUUGUCAAAACUACUGUUAUGUGGAGAGGUUUCACUGAGAUAAUAUUUUUCACCAGUGUGUUGUAUUCUGCUUCCAUGACAUUCUUAGUCCAGAUGCUUAUGUUCUUCGAUGAUCCAAUUAAUGAGGUCUCUUAUAGUUAUGGACAAUCAUUUUCUGAUAGCACUGUAAAGUGCUCCUCCACUUUUGGUCUUCUAACCUCUUUAUCUUCUCUGCUUCCAUUUUCUUUUGGUUAUCACGCGACUUGUUUAUUUUUGUUGUAUGGAUGUGUAGACCAUAUGGUGACAGUUACAGAGGUUAUAAUUUGGAAAUUUCAGAGGUUGGUAUCCAGUAUGCUUUCCUCAGCACCCCCUUGGUAUUUUUGGUGCUUGCUUUGCAAUCUGGAUAUUGUUAGGUUUUGACAGAAAGGCGGUUUUUAAAUCUUGUCUAUGGCAUCUUUAGUGAUUUCUAGGUGGUUUGGGUUUGGUCAGCUUUGCACUUAACUGUUUCCUUCUUAAUGUGCUUGCAGCCAUGGGUCUCAUAGAGCAGUGAAGUACUCUUUGCAUGGAGCGGGCCUUGUUUGUCCAUGUGUGUUGAUGUUUCUUUAGUUCAGUCUUCUAUGAUUACCAAGAUUUUCAGUUCAGUUUUCUUCCCUAAUCAGAGUGCUUCCCUUCUCUUCUUUGUCAAAACUGUUGAUGUAUGGAAGUUCUCAACUUAUGUAGUUUUUUUUUUUCCACUUAUGCGUGUUGUGUUCUGCUGCCAUGUCUUUUUAGGUAUGUAGAUUGUAUAUAUUAAGAAACGGAGAAAGCUUAGGACCAAGCACCUUACAGAAAUUGUGAUCUUUCUAACAAAAACACAUAUUCUGCCUGCCAUUUUUAGUUUUUGGUGACUGGUAAGUACUCAAAAGUUGCUUCUGGAUCUUCAGUAGCCCUGCACAGUGUUCUUCUCUCUUGGUGUUCUUGCUGCUUUUCUUCUGCUUCUGUUCUCUUUUGUGUAUCAUGCCAGCUUGACUUUUUUGGUGGAUGGAUGUGUGAUGACAGUUAUACUGGAUUAGAUUUGUAAAGUUCAAAGGUUGGUGUCCAGUGUGUGUUCCUGUGCAGCAUGUUUCUUGGCCAUUUUUGUGCUUGCGCUGCCAUUUGGAUAUUAUCGGGGCUUCAAGAAAAGGGAGUUUUUAAUCUUGUGUGGCACCUGCUGUGAUUCCCUAGUUGGUAUGGGUUUCACCUGCUUUGUCCACUGAACUGCAUUCCCUUCUUUUUGUGCUUGCAGCUGUUGGGUCUUACAGAUCUUUUCAUGGAGCGGCAUUGUUUGUCAAUUUGCGUCGAGGUUUAUUUAGUUGAUGCUUUUAAUGAGUAUUGAGAUUUUUUAUUCAGAUUGCAUCCCUGAUCACUGCUUACCUUCUCUCUGUCAAACUGCUGAUAUGUGGAAGUUCUCAACUAUGAUACUAGUGUAUUUUAUAUCCUGCUGGCGUUUUUAGUUUUUAGUCCAGAUGCUUCCUUGAUGAUUCAACUGAUGAGAUCCCUGGUGGUUAUGGAUACCUGAUAAAUUUUGGAUCUUUUGAUAGUGGCUAUGAGAACUUUGGAUCUUUUGGUACUUCUGGUGUUCCCCUAUAUUCUUCUCCACUUCCAUUUUCUCGUGUAUCACACCACUUGAUUUUCUUUGGUUGGAUAGAUGUUUGUAGAGCACAUGGUGUGUGAUACAUUCGAUUGCAAAUUUCAGAGGUUGGUGUCCAAUGUGCGCUCUUGUGUACCCUUUUUCUUUGCCAUUUUGGUGCUUGCACUGCCAUCUGGAUAUUAUCAGGGCUUCGACAUAAAGGGGGUUUGGAAUGUUGUGUGGCAUCUCUAGUGGUAUGGGUUUUGUCAGCUUUGGAUUUAAUUGUUCCCUUCUUUCUGUGUUUGCAGCUGUUGGGUCUUCUUAUAGAACAGUGAAUUCUCUUCAUGGAGCGUCCUUGUUUGUCAGAUCUCUAGUGAUUUGCUUGGAGGUUUCCUCCUUAAUCAGAGUAUUUCCCUUCUUUGUCAGAACUGCUGUUUUAUGGAAGAUCUCAACUAAGAUUAUUCUUUUCACAGUUGUGUAUAAUAUAUUUUCUGCCAUUCUUAGCUACUAGUUUGGAUGUUUUAUGUUCUUCGAUUAUCCCAAGUGUUGAGAUCUCUUCCCUAUCUUACAGGUAUGGGCAACUCAUUAGUAAAACUCAAUUCUGGGUCUUUUUAUAGCGUACAGUGCUUCUCUACCUUUGGUGUUCUCGCUCUUCUUCUCUGCUUGCGUGCUUUUAUAAUCACACAAGCUUGAUUUUGUUUGUUGGAUGGAUGGAUGUGUAUACCACAUAGUGAACGCUAAUGAGGAGUAAAGAAUUGCAAAUGAUGUUCCAGUAUUCGUUGUUGUGCGUGCUGUUUCUUGGUCUUUUUGGUGCUUGCAUUGCGAUCUGGGUGUUGUCAGGCUUCAAGAAAAGGGGUUUCUUUUCAAUCUUGUCUCUUGUAUCUGUAGGUUUUCUACCUUGGGUUUCACCAGCGUUUCACUUGACUGUUCCCUUUCCAUGCUUUGCAGCUGUUGGGUCUUAGAGCUGCGAAUUCUACUUCUCAUGGAGCGGCUUGUUUGUCAAUUUGUGUUGAGGUUUCUGUAGUGCAUGCUUCAGUGAGUGGAGUCUCAAUUCAGUUGUCGUCAGAGGCGACAUGGCGACCAUAAUAAAGAAUUAGAUUUCGGAAGGGCAAUAUCCAGAUGCGCUCCCGCAGAAGACUUCUGUCCUUAUCCGUUCGACAACGGACACUUUCCAUUUUGAUUCUUUCUUUGUACUUUUAAUUUUUUUUGUUUGAAAAAAAAAAAAAAAACCAGAAAGAAUUGUAGGGUUCUUUCUAACAAAUUCAAGACAAACUCUUUAGUACUCAUACUCUAGUGUGGGUUGUGUUGGUUUUUGAGGAAAAUGGAGUUUUGCAUCU